GGAUAGGAGCUUGACGAUGACCUACUCUCACAUGGGGAGACCCCACACUACCAUCGGCGAUGCGUCGUUUCACUUCUGAGUUCGGGAAGGGAUCAGGUGGUUCCAACGCUCUAUGAUCGUCAAGCAAUUCGG
rnacentral:rRNA from 1 species